AACGAACGCUGGCGGCAUGCCUAACACAUGCAAGUCGAACGAGACCUUCGGGUCUAGUGGCGCACGGGUGCGUACCGCGUGGGAACCUGCCCUUAGGUUCGGAAUAACUCCCCGAAAGGGGUGCUAAUACCGGAUAAUGUCUUCGGACCAAAGAUUUAUCGCCUUUGGAUGGGCCCGCGUUGGAUUAGCUAGUUGGUAGGGUAAAAGCCUACCAAGGCGACGAUCCAUAGCUGGUCUGAGAGGAGGAUCAGCCACACUGGGACUGAGACACGGCCCAGACUCCGACGGGAGGCAGCAGUGGGGAAUAUAGGACGAGGGGCGAAGGCGUGAUCCAGCAAUGCCGGGUGAGUGAUGAAGGCCUUAGGGUUGUAAAGCUCUUUUACCCGGGAUGAUAAUGACAGUACCGGGAGAAUAAGCUCCGGCUAACUCCGUG
rnacentral:rRNA from 1 species